rnacentral:rRNA from 1 species
UACGUAGGGUGCGAGCGUUGUCCGGAAUUAUUGGGCGUAAAGAGCUCGUAGGCGGUUUGUCGCGUCUGCUGUGAAAACCUAAGGCUCAACCUUGGGCUUGCAGUGGGGUACGGGCAGACUAGAGUGCGGUAGGGGAGAUUGGAAUUCCUGGUGUAGCGGUGGAAUGCGCAGAUAUCAGGAGACACCGAUGGCGAAGGCAGAUCUCUGGGCCGUAACUGACGCUGAGGAGCGA